UACGGGGGGGGGCGAGCGUUGUUCGGAAUUACUGGGCGUAAAGGGCUCGUAGGUGGCCAACUAAGUCAGACGUGAAAUCCCUCGGCUUAACCGGGGAACUGCGUCUGAUACUGGAUGGCUUGAGUUUGGGAGAGGGAUGCGGAAUUCCAGGUGUAGCGGUGAAAUGCGUAGAUAUCUGGAGGAACACCGGUGGCGAAGGCGGCAUCCUGGACCAACACUGACGCUGAGUGAGCGAAAGCCAGGGGGAGCAAACGGG
rnacentral:rRNA from 1 species